rnacentral:rRNA from 1 species
AAGUCGAGCGCCCCGCAAGGGGAGCGGCAGACGGGAGAGUAACACGUGGGAACGUGCCCUUUGGUUCGGAACAACACAGGGAAACUUGUGCUAAUACCGGAUAAGUCCGUAAGGAGAAAGAUUUAUCGCCAAAGGAUCGGCCCGCGUCUGAUUAGCUUGUUGGUGAGGUAACGGCUCACCAAGGCGACGAUCAGUAGCUGGUCUGAGAGGAUGAUCAGCCUCACUGGGACUGAGACACGGCCCAGACUCC